AGGCGAGAGGCAAAAGGUUCGAGCCACAGACUUCCCAGUCAGUAAAUUCGCGCUCUAACCACUGAGCCAUCUCGCC
rnacentral:tRNA from 11 species